rnacentral:rRNA from 1 species
GACGAACGCUGGCGGCGUGCUUAACACAUGCAAGUCGAACGGAAAGGUCCUGCUUUUGUGGGGUGCUCGAGUGGCGAACGGGUGAGUAACACGUGAGUAACCUGCCCUUGACUUUGGGAUAACUUCAGGAAACUGGGGCUAAUACCGGAUAGGAGCUCUUGCUGCAUGGUGGGGGUUGGAAAGUUUCGGCGGUUGGGGAUGGACUCGCGGCUUAUCAGCUUGUUGGUGGGGUAGUGGCUUACCAAGGCUUUGACGGGUAGCCGGCCUGAGAGGGUGACCGGCCACAUUGGGACUGAGAUACGGCCCAGACUCCUACGGGAGGCAGCAGUGGGGAGUGUUACACAGUGGGCGGAAGCCUGAUGCAGCAACGCCGCGUGCGGGAUGACGGCCUGCGGGUUGUAAACCGCUUUCGCCUGUGACGAAGCGUGAGUGACGGUAAUGGGUAAAUAAGCACCGGCUAACUACGUG